AUGACAGUUGAACUAAGCGAAUGAGGCAUUCACAAGUACAUUUUUCAAUAAUCAAUGGGUACAUAUUAUUCAUUUAUUAGUCCAAAAAUGGAGGCAGUAACUGCAGAUUGCCCCUUUAACACUCCAGGGAGGGUUAAAUACAUCACACCAGCUCAGUAGGAAAUGUAAUGGGCCCCAGGUUACUAUGUCAGUUUGGGUUGAUGGUGUACUGUACUGAAUAUAACCCCUUUUGAUUAGAGAUUAGCUGACAGUGACUCCUCUUUGAUUUGACUCCUCGUGAGGGUCAGUUCUGUUCUUAACAUAACAUUUGGCAUGAGCAAAAAUGUUUCCAAACUGCCUACGAGGGAAUUAGAGACCUCAUAAAUGUCAAUGGUAUGUUGUUGUCUGUUUGUGUCUGUGUCUGAUAGGGCACUACCGGAGCUCUGAGACAUGAAUGACCUUCCUUUGUCUCUCUCACCCUGUGGAACAUCAGACCCUCACCACGCUGGCUCACAUUUUGUGUGUUUCGAAAAUCUGGUCUCUCUCCAAGAGUGAUGGCAUCCCCUGCUUCCUGUGUAAUGGAUUGUCCCACUGAGCGAUGAGAACCAUGAUUGCCUGCGCAGACCAAAUGGGACCAGGGGGGAUUACUCUGACAACUUGAUGCUCUAAGUUUCAACAGCUGCUCUGCUUAGAAAACACAGGGAGAGGAAAUGUAUCAAGAGCAGGCUAGGCAGUUGAACAGAAUGGACACACCGUAACCGUGAUCCUUGGGUCUUGAAAGAACAACAGACAGGUAAGAAAAAGGUGCUAUCUAGAACCAAAAAGGGUUAUUUGGCUGUAUCCAUAGGAGAACCCUUUGAAGAACCCCUUUUGGUUCCAGAUAGAACCCUUUCCGCAGAAUGUAAUACAUGGAACCCAAAAUAGUUGUAAGUGUAACCAAAAAGGGUUCUCUUAUGGGGACAGCCACAGAAGCCUUUUUUCUAAGUGUGUAUACAUUGUGACAUACAGGUGCUACGUAUAUGUCCUGAGGUAUGGUCAUGUAAAGUAUUGAGUUGUCAGAUUUCAGAUGUGUCACCUCUACAGUUAUACUCCAGAACAGAUGACAAAUUAAAGUUUGAUCAAAUGUUUGCCCUUAUCCACCUUACUCCCUGAAGACCAGAAGUACUUCCACAUUCUUUUUAAAGACCGGAGGGAUUUUCAUCAAUGUUUUAUAUCUCCUCACGUUUAAACCUGCCUGCAUAUGUCUACAUGUCAAAGGUAAACAGACUAAAGCUCACACAGCAGGUGCUUGAUAUGCAAGGACGGUCCAUGUCAUGAAUCAAGUAAGUAUUUUUUAAACCUCCUGUUUUGGGCUCGAUGUAUCAAUGUGUUGUUCAUACAUUCAUACAUGCAUAUUCUAUGAGCAGAAUUACUGUCUUAACCUCAAUUAGCCACGAAAUCCCUAGUUUGAAGGUGACUGUUUUCUGGCCAUUUAGAAUAGUGCGAGCUUGGACCACGUGUGCCAGCCCUUUAGCAAUUUGAGUUCCAGUCAAUGAGGUUCAGCCCCUUGCCAUUUGAGUGACAGCUAGCAAGAGGCCUGCCCAGCAUUAUCCAAUGAAGUUGCAGGGUGGCCCAACGGCUCAGUGGACACAGCAGAGAGAGCAAGAGAUGGAGAUAGCGAUGACGUGGUGCACCUAUCUGCACAUAUAUGAGGUAGUAUGCAAUUUUCCGGGACCAUUUUUGGCUUGUGAGCGCUACUUUCAUAGCUACUAGCUAAAAAGUAUAUUUAAAAUGUUAAAGAGCUCCUAUUACAAGAUUAUAGACAGUCCUUUUAUCUCUCAUCAAGUUUUCAAUGACCUAGGUUUCAAAGCCGCUAAUGCUCACGUUGAUCUAGAAGAAAGAUUUAUUCCAUUCGACAAGCAUCCUUAUAGGAUGAUUUAAAGUAUGUGGAAUUGAAUGUUGAGGCUGAGUGACUGAACAAGAUUUGAUUGGGUGAAGCCAGAUUCUGAAUGAGGCUCAACAGUAGGCCCCGGGUCUUUCAUAACAGCAUGGUUACCUCACAACUGCUGUUGGUCACCAUGGAGAACCUAUACAGCACAUUUAUGAUCAAAUUUAUUUACAAAGAAAACACGGCUCUCUGACUAGCCCUAGAUGGAUGCUUCCCUAUAGGCCUACAUUUUUAUUUCUUGGAAAAACAAAUAAACAUGGAGAUGACCCUAGGAUACCGUAAACAACACCUACUUACGUCUGUCUUUCAGUUUGAAGUGGGGAUCAUGAUCCACCCCAGAGCCCUGAAGAGGCUCAGUCUACAACAUGUUUUGUAACCACACUAGAAAACAUUGGAUAAUGUUGAUUGCAGGGACUCCCAAGAAUCACAGCAGGGCAGGCAAAGCUGGGCAUUAGAGAGUGUUUUUCUCCUCCAGGCCUCAUGACCAGUUUCUACAUAACGUCCACUGCUUAUAUCCCUUGAUGCUCUGUUAUGAAAUACCUGGUUCUACCAGGUCACGGUGGACUUACUCCAUGUUCCUUCCCUGCUAGAUAUAACCUCAGGGAAAGAGCCUGGCAGGAUAUAUGAAGGCAUAUGCAUACUGCUAUGGCACAUUUAAUGUGGAGAGCUAUUGGAGGUCAGAUCAUUAGCAUGCUAGUUUGACCCAAACAACUUUAGGGAGUAAGGUCCAAACAGUACCAUCCGAGAAUCAAAAUAAUACAUAUGUCUAUAUACACUGAGUGUAGAAAACAUUAAGAACAUCUGCUCUUUCCAUGACAUUGACUGACCAGGUGAAUCCAGGUGAAAUCUAUGAUCACUUAUUAAGGUCCCUGAUUAAAUUCACUUCAAUCAGUCUAGGUUAAGGGGAGGAGACAGGUUAAAGAAGGAGUUUUAAACAUUGAGACAGUUGAGACAUGAAUUGGGUAUGUGUGCCAUUCAGAGGGUGAAUGGGCAAGACAAAAGAUUGAAGUGCCUUUGAACGAGGGUAUGGUAGUAGGUUUCAGGCACGGUUUGUGUCAAGAACUGCAACGUUGCUGGGUUUUUCACAGUUUCUUAAUAUUUUGUACACUCAGUGUAUAGUUCUGCUUUAGAGGCUACCAAGAUCGAUGGACUAGGCUUGAAUACACAAACAUGGUUAUCAUAUUUUAUAUUCCACAUGAGCCCUCAUGGCCAUGUAUCUGUUAGUAAGGGUAAUAUUUAUGUAUUUAUUCAUAGCUAUAUAAUGCCUUGUAUAAAAUGUAAUAAUUGGCAGGGAAUAUAGUUUCACUGUAAAAACACAUUCUAAUCAAAGCUCUAUCUGGUCAACUAGAAGAGGAUGGAUUAGAUUCACCUGCAAAUGGCUGCUUCCUCUCAAGGUUUUUUCCUACAUAAAGAGGUUUUCUUUGCCACCUUCCUUGCCUUUGCUUGGACUUGGAAAAUAUCAAUUGGAAACAUGGGACAACCGUGUUUUGUAAUCAAGGGUUAGUUCUGUCCUACUACUUUCUACUCUUGUCACUUUCUCUCCCUCUGGUGUUGCACCAUUGGGUUUGAGGGCAAUGUUACCAGGAUAUUGUAUUCAUACUUUAAAUACUUUUAUCUAGAUAUAUAUAAAUGAUAAGCUUAACAAAUAAUCACUUGAGGGUUUAGUUGUGUAACAAUGCAAUGCACAGGCUAGAGUAAAAACGAUUCCUGGAUCUGACAUUUAGCUGUAGGGUAUUGAUUUUGCCAGCACUCUAUAAUCUACACUGGGUCACAGCAUGGCCUAAGAGUGACCCACUUAGUGUUUAUUGACCCUGGUCAUGUGAUAGGGAAUCUGUGAUGAUUCAUGUCUGACUCUGCUCAACAGUCAAUGAGUUCAGCCUUACUUAAUGAGCUUUCACCUGCAGCGUCUUGUGUGACUGCCUGCCUGCUGCCUACUGUGUGUGCGCACACACACACACACACACACACACACACACACACACACACACACACACACACACACACACACACACACACACACACACACACACACGGUCAGCAUGAUCUGGUUGAGGUCUGGACUGGAAGCACUGAACUAAAUUGCUAAUACACUGAAGUGCAUUAUGGUCCCAGUGCAUUGUCCACACAUAAUGAACUGAUCUUUGUUUGGAUUCCGAGGCACAUCCCCUGAUACUGUUUGACUGUCUAAUGUGGCGAAAUAAUGAACCGUGUUGUAGUGAUGUCAGCCACUUGCUUGUGUCAAUGGGUUGCUAUUGCCACACACUGUGUUAUCAGCAGUAGCCCGUUGGCUUGGUUGGGACAUUAUGACCACACAGAUUGUAGAUGUAUUGUUGUACACUCAUGUAGCCUUUUUCUGAAUGGAUCUAAAGUAGGGACAAAACUGAAAAAAAAGACUUUCCUCCGUGUGAAUAAGGUACUGUAGUUACUUGAACUUAUCCCCUGAGUGCGGUUUACUGAUUUAGAUUGAAUAACAAGAAAUGUGAUUUAUGAUUUAUUUCUUUGCCAUACUGCAGGAAUGUCAUCCUUUUGUGAAGAACCUUGGCAGACUCAAUCAAGAGUUUAAGGGAUUAUCCCCUCAGGUGUCAUACGUACAGCACGAGGGCCACCCAUGCUGUACGCAAACUGUAUACACACAUGACUGUAAGGGGCUUUGGAUAAAAGCGUCUGCUAAAUGGCAUAAUAUUAGUUGUAAUGUUCCGUCUAUCAUGUCUCUUGCCCCCACUUAUACAGCUCAAGUAUAUAAAUAAUUUGACUGCAUCCGUUUGAUAGCGGCCCAGCUGCACUCGUCACAGCCACUCAGCCAGAUGGCUCAGCUAGACGCUGUCAGAAAAAAACUCAAUUAGGGCAGAGGAGCUGGAUUUGGCCAUGAGAGCAUCACAUGUGUCACUUAACCAUCAUAACACAAGGGGAAUUAGAUGGUGUGUCAUUUCAACGUGGUCACUAAUACUGUAACAUGCUCAUAAAAGCUUCCCACCACAAGCACAUUGGCCAGACAUAUUGUGUUGUGUGUGAUUGAGAGGGUGGAGGAUGUCCAUGAAUCUGAAGUGGUUUAACCUGUAGAUGUAGAAGCUCAUGGAAUUCCCGACGUGUUUAUGAUUUUCAACACAGAGGAACAAAGCACGUGGUUUGACCUUAGCUCUCUGCAAUAUAGACCUAGCUGUAUGACCUGUGUGGGUUAUGAGGCUUUGUGAAGAUCAGUAUGUUGACAGAGGUCAGGGCCUCUGACCUACAUAUUCAGCUCUGUUAUGGAAAGAAAGAUGCACAUGUGUUGCUUAAUCAGGGCCUUUAACAGGUAUAUGCUCUUAACCGUCACCUUAUGUUCCUGUUUUUGACAUCCACUAUCCUCAAGGAUCAGUAUCCACUGUAUGGUUGUCACGACUUCCGCCGAAGUUGGCUCCUCUCCUUGUUCGGGCGGCGUUCGGCGGUCGACUUCACCAGCUUUCUAGCCAUCGCCGCUCCAUUUUUCAUUGAUCCAUUUGUUUUGUCUUGUUUUGCACACCUGGUUUGCAUUUCCCAACCACACUGCAUGUAUUUAUUCCUCUGUUCCCCCUCAUGUCUUUGUGUAAUAUUGUUUGUGUUUACGUGUCAUGUUUGACACGCCAGACUGGUGUUCGUUUAUUCCGUGUUUUGUCAAGAGGUAUGUUUAUUUGUGUCACAUUCUGACUUUUUAUUUCCUUUGUUUUGUCAUUAUUUAGUAUGGUCAGGGCGUGAGUUGGGGUGGGCAGUCUGUUUGUUUUUCUAUGAUUUUGGGAUUUCUAUGUUUCGGCCUAGUAUGGUUCUCAAUCAGAGGCAGGUGUCAUUAGUUGUCUCUGAUUGAGAAUCAUACUUCGGUAGCCUGGGUUUCACUGUUUGUUUGUGGGUGUUUGUUUCCGUGUCUGUUUUUUUCACCACAUGGUACUGUUCCGGUUUUUGUUCGUUUCACAUUUAUUGUUUUUGUAUCAGUUGUGUUCAUGUUGAGUAUUUCUUAUUAAAAGAACCAUGAACACUUACCACGCCGCAUAUUGGUCCUCCGAUCCUUCUCGCCUCUCCUCUUUGUGAAGAAGAGGAGGAAAACUUUUACAAUUUGUUUGAACAUAAUUAUUAUGACUGUUUGCACGUUUUUAACUUUUGCCAAUUGGCUGGAGGUUUUGACGCAGUGGCGUCCGUCUGUUGGUUUCUUCUGCCUCAAUAAAGUGUGCGCCUGUUCACAACUCUCUGCUCUCCUGCACCUGACUCCGCUACCAGUACGCACACCAUUGACAGAGAUGUAUGUAUUUAAGACCUGCUUUUAGGCAA